GUAAUUACAGAGCAGAGAAGCAAAGCAAAAUAAAGCGUUGGGGGGGGGGGCGGUGUGUUGGGGAGAUGGGGCUUCAGUGGGGUUUCCUGGAGGAGGGGACAUCCAGGAUGGGUUCUGAAGGAUGAACUGGAGCUCGCUGAGGAGGGGGAGGGGCACGCGGGGAUGGAGGCGGCCGGCGGCCUUCCAGGCAGAAGGAACAGCGUGUCCAGAGGCACAGAAGCGUGAAAGCCCCCACGGAUCCAUGUUUGGCUUUGCUGGAGCGGAAAAUGUGAGGGAGGAGAGGCCAGAGAUAAGGCAGGCGCAGUCACCAGGAGCCAGGUCGAGAGGGUCAUGUGUGCAGAACUAAUGAGGUGGCCGUUUAUCCGGCGGGACAGAGGAAUCUCAGCUCUGUGAAGGCAGUGGGCUUUGUCCUCUUGCUGUAUUCCCAGUGCCUGAAAUGUGGCUGGCAGGAAACUUCCAUCUUGGCUACGUGUGUACGUGUGUGCACACCGGCCUAAGUGUGCAUCUGUGAGCAUACAUGCACUGGAUCUUGAUGCAAAGGCUUGCCGUUUCAUGGUCACACAGCUACAAAAUAUGCCGUUAUCUCUUAGUACUGUGAAGACUGUAUUCCCCCCAAAAUGGUACCAACGAUGACUCCCUAUCUUCACAUGGUCUUCAUGCAAUGGGACUCUGACACCCCUUCUUCUUGGAUGGGGAUGGAUUUGUGACUAUGGCCGAAAACACAGAGGGUCGUAAAGAGUGAUGUAGCUUCAGCUAGCUUGCUUGGAAUGCUUGCUCAGGGGACCCAGCCACCAUGCUGUGAGGAAGCCCAAAUCGUAUCCACCUUCCAGCCAGGGGAACCUUAUCAGUGACAACUACACAUCCACCAGAAUGGCUGAAAGGUUUUGAAAAAAAAAA
ensembl:lncRNA